GCCGUUGGCGAAGCCAGGCUGUCCUAGGAAGCCGAGUGGGAGUGGCACGGAGCUGCUGGAGGUGCUGAGAACCUGAGUUUCGGCAAGCAGCCAGGUCUGGAAACUGUAACAGGACAUUCAGUUAGUAAUGAUGGUUGCAGGUUGAAUAGUCUCGCCCUAGAUCUCACCUAACUUGCAGAAUAUUUUAAAAAUGACUACACCAAACAAGACACCUCCUGGUGCUGACCCCAAGCAGUUGGAAAGGACUGGAACAGUACGGGAAAUUGGGUCACAAGCUGUUUGGUCACUCUCAUCUUGCAAACCAGGAUUUGGAGUGGAUCAGUUACGAGAUGACAAUCUAGAAACUUAUUGGCAAUCAGAUGGUUCCCAGCCUCAUUUAGUGAACAUCCAAUUCAGAAGAAAAACAACAGUGAAGACAUUAUGUAUUUAUGCAGACUACAAAUCUGAUGAAAGCUAUACUCCAAGCAAGAUCUCAGUCAGAGUAGGAAAUAAUUUUCACAACCUUCAAGAAAUUCGGGCUUUGGUAUCAGGAUGAUGCUGGCCUCAUCAAAUGAGCAACUUGAGUUGGUGGAACCAAGUGGCUGGAUUCAUGUUCCCUUAACUGACAAUCAUAAGAAGCCAACUCGUACAUUCAUGAUACAGAUUGCUGUUCUAGCCAAUCACCAAAAUGGAAGAGACACCCAUAUGAGACAAAUUAAAAUAUACACACCAGUAGAAGAGAGCUCCAUUGGUAAAUUUCCUAGAUGUACAACUAUAGAUUUCAUGAUGUAUCGUUCAAUAAGGUGACUUUAAAAUGAGAUGAAAAUCAUUAAAUGUAUCUUUGUUUUAUCCUGUAUUUAAAUAAUAUAUCAGGUACCUUUAUUGAACAAGGCAUCCGUUAUAUGUAAUUUUGUAUAUGUUUAAAAAUAUUUUAUUGUAACUUUGACAAAUAAAUUUGGGGUCAUAUUAUCUUUAUUUUCUUUAACAUGUAAUAAAGCUCACAUAUUUUACAUUACUAA
rnacentral:sRNA from 1 species